rnacentral:misc_RNA from 1 species
CUAUGCAUGAUGGGAGAUGGGAGACAAGAAUCAGUUUAGUUCAGUUUUCUUUGUGCAGCCGAUUGCAGUGGAUGGAUUGUUGUUUAGUGUAGUGCAAUAAUCUAUUACGAUCGGCAUCUGUUAUUAUUUAGUGUUGGUGUCAAAACGAACAGUGUUUUAAAAUGCGUCACGCCCUACAGUGCUCGAAUUUCAAUCGUCAAUCGCGCCAGUGAAAAGAAUCGGUUACACAGAGGCCAGUGAACGACAUUUUCAACAACCAUUCUUCGACAAACGACAAGCCACACUGUUUCAAGCAGCACACUAUGAAAACCAGAACUCUAGCAGCCCCGACAAUAUUUAGCUGAUUGAUGUUCAGGGCCUUCCAUUUGGUCGGAAACUAUUAUUAUUUUGAUGCUUUCGUCCAAAUUCUCAAACGAUAUUGAUUGAUUUGAUACGGCACUCGCACCAGAUACAUCACAACAUUUAGGCCAAUCUUUCACUAAUUUACUGAAUGAAUACGCGUAAAUUCUUACACAAUACUCAAACUUCAUCACCUUAGCAACGUUCUUGUGAUAUUAUUCGUUAGAUUUAUGUCAGAAAUACUCAAUAUUCGUCACUUUAUUGUUUCAGUGUUCCGUGUAUGAUUAGAUCUAUGUUUCACACCUUUGUGUCAAUUUUUGUCUAACCUCAAAAUUAUCUGAUCGGUCUCUCAGUUCUAGUCGCUCCACCUGACCUAACCAAAUUUUUUUAAUGUUGAUGUUGAUCAUUUCUGGCUGUUAUUUGUGGCUGAAUGAGCUUGAUCGGAAUUUGUGACGGUGCAGUUUAGAAUGGCUGUUGUAGGGCCCAGUCGUCACUCAAGAGUGCCCGUUAGCAUGCCUUUAAUGCAGGGAACAGGAGCUGCUAGUUCGGCAGGACAUCAGCAGGCUAUUUUAGCAGCUGCGCAGCCCUACUAUCAUCCUCAGCAUGCUCAUCAAGCUCCGGCAGCUACUCCACAGAAUGUGCAGCCCGACAGACCCAUUGGAUAUGGAGCUUUCGGCGUUGUUUGGGCAGUGACAGACCCCCGUGAUGGCUGCCGAGUGGCCCUCAAAAAACUGCCCAAAGUUUUCCACUCACUCGUCUCAUCGAAGCGAGUUUUCCGGGAACUAAAAAUGCUCUGCUUCUUCAAACACGAAAACGUUCUCUCCGCCUUGGACAUUCUACAACCACCUCAUUUAGACUUCUUCCAGGAAAUUUACGUGAUUACUGAGCUGCUGCAAAGUGAUCUGCACAAAAUCAUCGUUUCGCCGCAACAUCUGUCUGCCGAUCACAUCAAGGUCUUUCUCUACCAAAUAUUGAGAGGUCUGAAGUACCUCCAUUCAGCCAGAAUCCUACACAGAGACAUCAAGCCAGGAAAUCUUUUGGUUAACAGCAAUUGUGUACUAAAGAUCUGCGACUUUGGCCUGGCCAGGGUGGAGGAGCCAGACCAAUGCAAAAAGAUGACCCAGGAGGUGGUGACCCAAUACUACAGGGCGCCCGAGAUCCUGAUGGGAGCUCGCCACUACAGCGCUGCCGUCGACGUGUGGAGUGUCGGCUGCAUUUUCGGCGAACUGCUCGGUCGGCGAAUUCUGUUUCAGGCGCAGAGUCCUGUGCAGCAGUUGGAGUUGAUCACCGACCUGCUGGGGACUCCGUCGCUGGACGACAUGCGUCACGCGUGUGAGGGCGCACGCACGCACAUGUUGCGUCAACGCGUCAAACCCCCCUCCCUCACUGCCCUCUACACGCUCUCAUCGCAGGCCACACACGAGGCCGUUCAUUUACUCUGUCAGAUGUUGGUGUUCGACCCGGACAAGCGCAUCACAGUGAUGGACGCCCUGGCGCACCCCUACCUGGACGAGGGCAGACUGCGCUACCACUCGUGCAUGUGCAAGUGCUGCUACACCAACUCGGCCAACAGUCUGCGUCAGUUUACGCCCGACUUCGAGCCCAAGACGCCGCACGCCUUCGACGACCUCUGGGAGAAGAAGCUCACCUCGGUGCAGCAGGUCAAAGAAGAGAUGUACAAGUUUAUAGUGGAGCAGCUGAACACCCGGCGCGUGCCACUGUGCAUCAACCCGCAGUCGGCCGCCUUUAAGAGUUUUGCCAGGUAAGGCAAUGGCUCAGGUCCACCUCUCAACACUUCCUCACUCACUCAUCAAACAAUCCCGUUCAACGGUGGCACACCCUCUGAGCUGCCCCCCUCGCCACACCAAUGGGAGUGACAUUUUCUACAGCCUAGGAUAUUGUUUCGACAGUUCAUUGGCUGAGCAAAAUAAAUGUAAAAAACGCAAACAAAAUGAAGAAACCCAACGAAAAAAAUAAAGACUUUCGAAAAAUUCGUGGAGACAUCUCUGUCUGCGAGACCUGAUCGCGACGUUAGUUUUUGUGUUGUAACACUUUAUUGUCAGACUUUUAUGUGUUUUUGUCACAAAUUUAUGUGUUGUGUCAUGAAUUUUUGUGUUUUGACACUUUGGAAACGUUAUGUUCCCCAGUUUUGGAGGACUAGUUGUUUGUUGUGUUCAAUGUAUUCUCUCAAAUAACUGAAACUGUAUGGAAUUGUUUUGAGUUACUAUCUCGAAGCUGGAACUUUUUACUAACUAGUUACUGUAGUUUUGAGUUUGUAUCUCAAAAUUGGAACGUUUUACUUUGAACUAGUUACUGUAUGGUAGUGUUUUGAGUUACUAUCUCAAAACUGGAACUCAUUAGUUCUCUAGAGUUACUCUAACUUUGAGUUACUCUCCCAAAACUGAAACGUUUUGAGUUACUCUCUCACAAGAACAUGUCUGUGUUUGUAAUUAAACUGAUGAAUUAUUUUGGUAUUCAGCUACUUAUUCAUGUAGUAGUUUGAAUUUGAUUGUAUCUAGUUUGUAUGUACAUUGAUUAUUUUAGGAGGGCUAAUAAUAUUGGAAGAGGUGGUAGAAAAGAAAAUGACUGUUAACGAAAUUUUUUCAAACAAAAGGCUGAUAGAAUUUGACUGCUAAAUUGAGUCGAUGCUCCUGAAAUUUGUUCGUAUUGCCUGGGCAGUACCGUUUAUGUUUUAGGUUAGGGUUUAUUUUUGUAAUUAUUUGUGGAAUGUUAGGUUAAGUUAGGUUGUCAGUGAUCAGUUGACACCAGUGUAUUUGUAAAAAACGGAUGGUUUAUGUAAUAUUUGUAACAACUAUUGUAAGUUUAUGAAUAUUAAUUGGUUUUAUUAAGAUGAUGGAGCAUAUUUUGUCUUCGCAUUGUUGACAAAAUAUUUUGAAAAGCUUUCAUUGAAUAAUUGUCGUGGGCUGCUUGGAAAAAUCAACAAUUUGAUGAACUUUGUAGCUCGAAAAUGUUGGCUACCUGCUGGAUGGGUACCUACCCAACAUCUGAGAACCAAUUUGAGUUUUUUCAAGCAUUUUGGCUCUUGUUAAUGAAAUAAUGUUUUUUUUAUGAUUCUUGAAGAU